rnacentral:rRNA from 1 species
UACGGGGGGGGCAAGCGUUGUUCGGAAUUACUGGGCGUAAAGGGCGCGUAGGCGGCCAUCUAAGUCAGACGUGAAAUCCCUCGGCUCAACCGAGGAACUGCGUCUGAUACUGGAAGGCUUGAAUCCGGGAGAGGGAUGUGGAAUUCCAGGUGUAGCGGUGAAAUGCGUAGAUAUUCGGAAGAACACCAGUGGCGAAGGCGGCUCACUGGACUGGUAUUGACGCUGAGGUGCGAAAGCGUGGGGAGCAAACAGG